rnacentral:rRNA from 1 species
CAGCCGUAAACUAUGCGCGUUAGGUGUACUGGUGACCACGAGUCACCGGGGUGCCGAAGGGAAACCGUGAAACGUGCCGCCUGGGAAGUACGGUCGCAAGGCUGAAACUUAAAGGAAUUGGCGGGGGGAGCACCACAACGGGUGGAGCCUGCGGUUUAAUUGGACUCAACGCCGGAAAUCUCACCGGAUAGGACAGACAUAUGAUAGUCGGGCUGUAAGACUCUACUUGAUGAUCUGAGAGGUGGUGCAUGGCGUCAGUGACU